GGGCAUUUUGGCUCGUCCCAAACUCCUGUGCAAAGGAAUUUCGCGCGGUUGCGUGGAGUGCGAAUUGUUGUUUUUUUCUCAACAAAGUUUGUAAAAAUGAUUUUAUAUCGAGACUUAAAAUGGAGAUAAACUUUUGAAAACCCCAUUUCAGUGGGUUUUCUUUACGAAAAGCAAUAGUUCUGAACAUAAUAUAUACAGAAAUCGUCGUUUAAAAAUACAUUUUCAACGUUGUUGUGGCUUACUUAUAAGCAUUAUUUAUUUAAUGGAUUUCUUAUAUCUUCAACGGGGUCUGGAAAGUAAACCAUGCCGUGAAAUAUGGGUAGGGAUAAAACGCUGAAACUGAAUCGCGGAAACGGAAACUGAAAGCGGAAACUGAAAUGGGGGUAAAACGCUGAAAUGGGGGUAAAGCGCUGAAAUGGGGAUAAAACGCUGAAAUGGGGGUAAAACGCUGAAAUGGUGAUAAAACGCUGAAAUGGGGAUAAAACGCUGAAAUUUAAUCGAAUUCGUUGUUUGCUAGACCAUUGCGAACGGCAAUUGCUAGAUAGUAUACUUCAAAAUAAGGUUUCCGUUUUUAUAUCAAUUUUUAAAAUAAGUUGGGGUUAGGUUAGGGUUUAGGUUAGGGUUAGGUUAGGGUUACUGGGUAAGGGUUAGUAUUAGAGUUAGUGUUUAGUUUUAUGUUAGGAUAGUUUUUUCUACGUUAUAUGACGUCAAUGCAACGGCCAGUUUAUGCACCUCGGUCAGCGUCAGCAACGCCACAAGGAUCCCAACAGGUCCCAUUACCUACCGCUGUCA